GAUGAACGCUAGCUACAGGCUUAACACAUGCAAGUCGAGGGGAAACGAUAUUGGAAGCUUGCUUCCGAUAGGCGUCGACCGGCGCACGGGUGAGUAACGCGUAUCCAACCUGCCCAUCACUUGGGAAUAACCUUGCGAAAGUAAGACUAAUGCCCAAUGACAUUUAUAGAAGGCAUCUGAAAUGAAUUAAAGAUUUAUCGGUGAUGGAUGGGGAUGCGUCUGAUUAGCUUGUUGGCGGGGUAACGGCCCACCAAGGCGACGAUCAGUAGGGGUUCUGAGAGGAAGGUCCCCCACAUUGGAACUGAGACACGGUCCAAAACUCCUACGGGAGGCAGCAGUGAGGAAUAUUGGUCAAUGGGCGGAAGCCUGAACCAGCCAAGUCGCGUGAGGGAUGACGGUCCUACGGAUUGUAAACCUCUUUAGCCCGGGGGAGUAAAAGUGAGCGACGUGUCGCUCAUUGAGAGUACCCGGAGAAUAAGCAUCGGCUAACUCCGUGCCAGCAGCCG
rnacentral:rRNA from 1 species